UCGAUGACUGCUCCUCUUCCUCCUCACUGUCUUCCUCCUCCAAGGUUUCACCGCUGGAGAAGUAGAUAACCUUCUUCUGUUUGGAUGGGCUGGGACCAGCAAAGCUUGUCUCCUGGGCGUUUGCUGCCUUACAGAUCAUAUGCAGCUCAAUCAUCUUCUGUUUGGAUCUAUAAUCCUGAGGUCAAAGGUGGCGUAGACUUCAGCAGUGCACUGCUCGCUGAGAGGCGGCAGCUCGAAUGGGAUUGGCUCAGCCAGGCCGUAGCUCGCCUUCAACUCCAGCUGGGGGGCCUCAGCUGGGACCUUGUGGAAGUAUCUGAGGAAAUAUGUCCAGAGUUGCAAUUUAAAAGAGGAAGGAUUGGGAAAAAGUUUGUGUUUCAGAGGACAGACAGUAUUUAAGUGUCGAUGAUGUCAAUCUCUGCCACUUGUGUUUAAGUGUUGAGCCUAGAUCCAGCAACCAAAUGUGUUACAGCUUAGAAAAAGUAAACGUGUUUUGUUUAAAGUAAGUGUGUACAGCAAAGCAUGUUGCAUUGUUUGUGCUGUAGUAACAGCAGCUGUUGCCAUCAAUGAUAUUAAAUUAAUAUGAUUGUUUUUUGUGAUUGUUAUUGCACAUCUGAGCUUUGUAAAUACAUAAAUGUUCCCACUAAAAUAUGAUGUGUGUUUGCCACGUUGUCAGAGAUGCAGACGUUUCUAUCUAAGACCAACAAUGUGUAAACCAUCUGAGUCUGCAUGCAAGUGUUUGUCUGCCUUGACCGACUCACAUGAAGCCAUUUUCUCUCUGGCACUUCUCCAGUGUGUUUUUAAUGAGGCCGCCCAGUUUGAGGAAGAACAGCUGCUCUGAUGGUUUGGCUGUGGUGCCUGGGCCUUUGGUCUGACGAUACUCUUUACACAGCGCCUCAGCACGGGAGUAGCCUAAACAGAGAUGUCUUCAUGUUAAUACAAAAGAAAUCUAGAUCGUUAGGGCUCUUCAUUACAUAUGAAGAUGUGCCCAAAAAAGAAACAACACAGAGUGCAUGACAUUCAUUAUGAUUCAACUACAUGUAUAUAGAAAUUAGUUAUUUUUCUUGACUGAUUACCAAUCAUAAUUAUUAAUAUCUACAAUUACAUAUUUUCAUCUACACCUGUAUGUGUAUAUAUAUGGUAGAAACAAGGGAAGAGGAGAUGCGUAAUAGUUUAUUAUCAUUAUUGUUGUUAUUAAUGGUAUGUUAUUACUCUGUUUUUGUUAUGUUCUCUGUUAAUAUUAUUACAAAUAUUUAAACUGA